CAUGAUUUUCUCAUUGGAAACGGUCUCACCUUUUCAUGUACGAUGGAAGGCAAUGAGGCCAAAUGCGAAGUGCUUUCACCUGGCUAUUUCGACCAAGGACUGCCGGCUUUAUUUGAGGUUGCCACGGAUGAAACAUAUGUGGAGUCAAAGCCUGAACAGGACGACCAUUUCGACAGGAACUUUUCUGCCGAUAAUUUUCAUGGGGAUACGAGCUUCAAAGCAGUUGUGGAGACUCGGAGAAAAUUUUCAAAACUGUCUUAUUUUUUGUCCAAGAACAAAUUGUACCAAGUCGCAAGUUCUCUGUCAAAAUGAAGCUAACUUUGUUUUUCGUGAAA